UCCCUGAUGGCUCAGAUGGUAGAGAAUCUGCCUACGAUCCAGGAGACCCAGGUUCAAUCCCUGGGUUGGGAA
rnacentral:tRNA from 1 species